rnacentral:lncRNA from 1 species
GAAGCUACAUCAUUGAGUGAUACUUGGUUGAGCUACCAUCCUUGGAAUCAGAUUGACUUUGACGCCAUUCCUCAAAAUGUUUUUGAUAGGCUUCCUGAAAUUAAAAUGUUAAGCAUUAAAUUAUGUUAUACUGACAGUAUGAAACACCAAUAAAUAAAUUAUGGGAGCUUCAUAUAAUGUUCUACGCAGAUGCAAAUGAAAAAGUAAAUGCAACUGAUAAUCCAUGUGCAGUCAAAAAUCAGUUUCGUAAUGUUUGAAACAUCCCAGAGAAACAUAUAGGAUUGUCAAUGAAAGACAACUGAUAUAACCUAACCUUUGAUUCUUCAAGCUCCAGUUUAAGUGAUUGCAACUGCAGGUAAAUCCACAGUAAAGCUAAUUUAAAACAGGAGAAGUUUAGAAAAUAAGGUGCUUGUGAUAAGUCAGUUAAGCCAUACAAAGGCAGAAAAGAUGAACACAUUCUCCAACUUCUAGGAAUUCUAUACAUGCCUGAACAUUAAUUUACUCAGAAGAAUCAACUACUGUAAUAUGUACACCAAAAAGUUUGUGGAGAACCUCAAUUGAGACCACCCACCCUCCCUGCACCAAAUUCCAACAUAUACUUGCAAGCCAAAACUCGAAGAGCAGGGCGGCAAGCCCAAGGGAGUGGUCACAUCGAUUAUGUCCUGAUAUGAUGUCUUAUCAAAUCUACUCAACGAAGAGCAGUACAGACAUAGAUGAUAUUAUCAUGACCCCUCUUUUUGUACCACUAGGAAUGCUUAACGUCACUUUGUCAAUUUGCAUUAUCUGCCUUCUAUCCUAGUGAACAAUGUUCCAUUGAUUAGGCGGGAACAGGAUUCGAACCUGUAUUUUUUAGGUCAUGAGUCUGAUGAGUUGACCAAUUCCUCCACCUCGCAUCCUUUUCUUUGGUGAGAAUUCAAACCACACAAUGAUUUUCAGUCUAAUUGAGCUACCUAAACCACUUUGAAAAAAGUCUCCUUUCUUUAUGUAUUUUGGCCGCGACAUGAGUUUUCUUUUACAUGUACAC